UGGGGAAUUUUGGACAAUGGGCGAAAGCCUGAUCCAGCAAUGCCGCGUGUGUGAAGAAGGCCUUCGGGUUGUAAAGCACUUUUGUCCGGAAAGAAAUCCUUGGCUCUAAUACAGUCGGGGGAUGACGGUACCGGAAGAAUAAGCACCGGCUAACUACGUGCCAGCAGCCGCGGUAAUACGUAGGGUGCAAGCGUUAAUCGGAAUUACUGGGCGUAAAGCGUGCGCAGGCGGUUUGCUAAGACCGAUGUGAAAUCCCCGGGCUCAACCUGGGAACUGCAUUGGUGACUGGCAGGCUAGAGUAUGGCAGAGGGGGGUAGAAUUCCACGUGUAGCAGUGAAAUGCGUAGAGAUGUGGAGGAAUACCGAUGGCGAAGGCAGCCCCCUGGGCCAAUACUGACGCUCAUGCACGAAAGCGUGGGAAGCAAACAGGAUUAGAUACCCUGGUAGUCCACGCCCUAAACGAUGUCAACUAGUUGUUGGGGAUUCAUUUCCUUAGUAACGUAGCUAACGCGUGAAGUUGACCGCCUGGGGAGUACGGUCGCAAGAUUAAAACUCAAAGGAAUUGACGGGGUCAUAGCUG
rnacentral:rRNA from 1 species